UGUUUGGAAUUUGCUACGUAACCAAACUGCACUCAAACUAUGCUCCAAAAGCUCUCCUUAAGACCAGCAAGGGAAAAAAUGCAACGGCACAGAAGCCUCGAUCUGGCCUGAAGCCUAGGAAAAAGGAAAGCUCAUCAGUGUGAGGUCACUUGCUAAUAUACAUGCCUGCAAAAACAAGCUGGUUCACCUCACAAGAAAUGGUCAUUCUGGACUUCCAUUUUACACUUAGCAUCACUGCUUUGCACAGACUUGAAUGGCGUUUUCUUCUCUGAGCUUCUCAGCCUCACAUCUGUGGCAGAGAGAUGAGACACGUGAGAACAGCUUCUGAGCGUCACCGAAGGAGAGAAGUCACUGAAAGCCUGACCUGCUUGUGAUCCUUGGCAACAAAGCUGCAGCUGGGUAAUUCAUAUGAGCUGCAUAGAGAUUUUACAUUUAGACUGCUUCCUUGAAUCAUGAGAAAGGGGAUAUUAACUGUACAAAACACCUGCACAAAGUUAUUUAAGAUAGCUAGUAGAAGUUUUGCACUCCAAUACUGUAUUAUACCUUCUGGUCCUUAAGUACCAGUAACGUUGUGAAUUUGAAGAGCUCCACAGCACCAUAAGCAGACUGCAGCACGGGAACUGCUGUGGCGGGACAAGGGGAAACAGGUUCAAACUAAAAGAGGGGAGAGUUGGAUUGGACAUAAGGGAGAAGUUAUUGACAUUAAGGAUGGGGAGGCACUGCACGGGGUGCCCAGAGAGGCAGCGGUGCCCCAUUCCUAAGGAAAUCCAAGAUCAGGGGAUGGGCAGUGAGCACUGAUGGAGCUGUGGGUGUCCCUGUGCACUGUGGGGAGUGGGAUCAGAUGGCCUUGAAGGGUUCCCUUCCAACUCAAACCAUUCAAUGGCUCUGUGACUCUUUAGUGUUGCCUCCGGUAUUUAGAAAAAGCAAAACAAUUCUAGCUUUCCAAGUAACACUCAGUGCUAGAAAGGAAAAGAACAAAGAGGUGAUAUUAGUGACAGCUGAAAGCAUCCUGAAAAACGUAACUACCAUCUUUCAGACAUUAACACAGAGGGCCCUGCUGUAUACGCUGCAAAGGCAACUGCAUCCAAGGGCAAAUCACUUGUGUUACGUCAUGCUAAGUCACGUUCAGAGGAGCAAGCCACACGUUUAUCCCAGCCAUGGUUAUCCACAUUCAGACACCUACCAGCAGUCAGAUUCCGAGGCACUGCUUUCUAAGGGCUAAGCUACAGAGGUUAAGGUGGCGGCCGCAGGGCAGUCAGUAGGGCUAAGGAUGGUCAGCAGGACACACUAGGUUAGUUUCUACGUGGAGCAAGCAGCAAGCUGGAGCGUUGUGGGGCUGCCACGCUUCCCACAAAGCUCUGUAAGCGUACAUUACCUCAAAAGAUCAACUUUUUGCUGCAGCUCGGUGCACGUGCUUUGUAAGCCACGCGUCACUGCGUUCCUCUCCUCCUCCUGGAGAUGCAUGGCAUUGGGGUUAACCAGAGUGGGGACCUCCUCCAGCAUCUCACUGUGCUCCUGCAGACCUGUCUUUUCUGUUGAUGCUUCCUUCAUCAUGCUGCCACACUGGGCAUGCUCAUCUUGCAGAGCCUUAAGCACUGCCGCCUGUUCUUCUGGCUUUCCAAGCUGGCAUCGCAGCCUUGACUUCUCCCUGGACACAUCUAUUUCUCCUCCAACACUUUGGGUUUGGCCAUCUUUCAACUCUCUAACUGUUUUGGGGAGCUGCAUGUUUUCCUCCCAGAGCUUCAUACUUUCCAGCUCGCUUUCUUCUAGCUUGCAAUGAAAGCUUCUCAGUUCACACAGGUUGUCUUCCAGGACUCUGUUUUUUUCAACUAACUUCAUCACUUCAGAUUUCAGGCCCUCAUUUUCUGCCUGAAUUUCUUCUUGCAGUGACAGCAGCUUGGCUUGUGCCAUCAAUCUUUCUUGCAACUCUUCAACCCUCUCCCAGAGUUGAGGUAUUGCACUUUCCAGGUCACCGUUCAUCAAUCCAGGAGCACGUUCCAGUUCUUUGACGUGCUCAAGUUCAGUCUGCAACUUUGAAGCAUCAGGAUGAAAGCUUUUACUCUUGGGAGCUGCUCUGUUACUUAGCAGACAGACAUUCUGCUGUUCAAUACCAUUCUGGAGUAUUUUUAGCCUGGGUACUCCCUCAAGAUCUCUGUUUCUUUGCAGCAGAGGCACCUGAGAACCCACCUCUAGAUCCUUGUCCAAGUCAAGGUUGCCAUCACUCUCCAGUGCCAUUUUACCCCCUGGCACGUGGCACAUCCACACCUCAGGAGCACCACUGUCCGCUCUGCUUCCAUCACACAGCUCCUCCAAACCACAACCCAUCCCUUCUUCCAGGUCUGUAGCAUCAGCCUCCAGGAGCUGAAAGCCAUCCAGAUCCGCUCCCUUGCCUUCAUCUCUACAGUCACAGGGCAGCCCUCCAAAAAGAGGAUUCACCUCGUCUAGCAGCUGCAAUGUUUGGUCAGAGCAAUUAGGCCAGGCAUGCCCCAUGGAUCUGCACUCAGCAUCUUGCAGCCUUUGCUGCAGCCUGACAAUCUCAGCAGCCAUCCUGACAUUUUCCUUCACAGCUUGCUCAUGCACUUUCUGCAGGUUUAUGAGAACAUCUGCAUCAUCUCCCAGCGGCUCCGUAGCAGAGAAAGAAGCUAUUUUGCUCUUUGCUUUGGUGUAUUCGUUUUCCAGGACCCGAUAGUGGUUCUGUAGUGCAGAAAAACUAAGGUUCUCCCACUGCAACUUCUGCACUUUUUCUUGGAGGUUUGAGAUUUCCAAAUUCAUCUCUGCCUUUUCUGCUUCUGCUUUCACACAAAUGUCUUUGUUUAAACUUUCCAAGGCCAGAAGCUUGGAAUUCAGUUCUUCCUUCUCCCGCUUAUAUUCACUAUGGAGUCUCUCCAGCUUUUGCCUGACCAGUUUCCCACUUUCCUCCACCGUGUUGAUACGCUCCUCUUUGUCCUUCAGCUCUCUCUCGUGGUCAUUUUGAAGCUGUAGCAUCUCACUGCUCAGCUUUCUCUCCUGCUCCUCAGCAGCAUCCCUCAGCUCCUGCAGCUCUUUCUGGAGCUGCUCCUUCUCGCACAUCAAUGUAUUCACCUCCUCCUUAAACUUCUUCUCCAGGAGCUCCUUCUCUUGGCUCAGGGCAACAGAUGCAGCCUUCUCAUUUGCCAGGCUUUCCUUCAGCUGCUCGUGGGCUUCAGCGACCUCCUGGGCAAUCUCAUCCCUUUCAAACUCCCACUGAGCCUUCUCCUCUCUCUGCAGUUCCACAAACUCACGCAGCUCUCGCUGGUAGCGGCCCUCCAGACUUUGGAUGGUUUCUUCAUACUUAUUCACAAGUGUUUGGGUGUCAGCAGAGAACUGGCUUUCAGCAUGAGAUGCUCUUCUGUUAUAGUCACUUUCCAUUUUUUGCCUAAACGUGGUUAACAUAACACAUUACUAAACCCUGGGCUAUCUCAGGAAGAGAUCAAUUUUCAAAGCUACUUCAACUGAAUACCUUCUCCUACUGAGUUUUAGUGGCACUACUGUUUGCUGGGUGUUUCUGAGAGCAAAAAGUUAAACGAGGCCAUUUAUUGAAACUUGAAUAAUUCAUCGAUAAUACAAUGAUAAUUGCCAUGGAUGUGUUCUCCUAUACCUGGCAUUGGAUUUGUGGGGGCAAAUAUUCUUGUCCCCAUCUCUCCCUGUCAGCCCAGGAUGCUCUCAUUACUUCUGACGCUCACUCCUGACUAGAUGCAUGUACCAACCACCUGCUUGCUUCUUCAGAAAAGGACAACUUGAAAUCAAAGGACUGUAAAGCACAGGGAUGCCAAAUGGAGCUCAAAUUAACCACGCCUGGUUACGCUUUAGCAGCACUGCUGCCUCUGGGCAAGCUAAGAGCCAGCAGAAAUAUCUGCUGGAAAAGGGUCAGAAGACACAGCUCUGUGUAUGAGCCCAUCUGGUUCUGGAAUAAAGCACUGUACAGUUACAGCACCUGAAAUGAGCACUGGCAGCGAGCUCUGUGCCAGCAUUGCUAAGGUCACAGUGCCAAGCAGCACAGAGCACAGCUGUAGAGCCACGGGGACACUCACCUCUCCUCCUCCAACUCCUGCCUGUGCUUCCUCAGCAGCUCCUCCUUCUCCAGGGCAUGUGCUUCUGCCAUCCUCUCCAGCUGCUGAUGGAAGCCGUGCUCCAGCUCUCCCUUCUCAUCCUGCAGUGCCUGCAGCAGUGCUCUCAUUUUCUCCUCUGCCCAGACACCGUUCUGGAUCAGCUCCUCCCGUUCUCGACUGAACUUCUCAUUGGCCUGCUCCAACCUGGCUCUAACAUCGUCCUCAUGUUCCUGCCUCAGCAGCUCCUGCAGAUUGGCUUUCUCCUCACUGAAGCUGACCUGCAGCUUGUUUUUCUCAGCAUUAUGUUCACAGCCAAGCUUUUCUUGCUGCUCCCUGAGUGCUGCAGCCUCUCCUUGCAGCUCUGCAACUUGGCUUCUGAGCCCAGCUAUCUGCUUCUCCAUCACACGCAUCUCCUCACCGUACUUCUUCCUCAUGUCCUCCUGCUCCUUCUCACAGUGGGUUUUUGUCUCACCCAGCUGCUUCUCAUAGUGGCUCACCUGCAGGAGGAACACAGACUUUUUCUCCAGAACAUACAACAGAAAUGAACAGGAAACAUCUCUAGAAUAUUUUCACAUAUUUUAUAGAGCAUUUUGACAUUUAGGUUGGAUGUCAGGGGGAAGUUGUGUGCUGUGAGAGUG